rnacentral:rRNA from 1 species
UACGAAGGGGGCUAGCGUUGCUCGGAAUUACUGGGCGUAAAGCGCACGUAGGCGGCUUUCUAAGUCGGGGGUGAAAUCCUGGAGCUCAACUCCAGAACUGCCUUCGAUACUGGAGAGCUCGAGUCCGGGAGAGGUGAGUGGAACUGCGAGUGUAGAGGUGAAAUUCGUAGAUAUUCGCAAGAACACCAGUGGCGAAGGCGGCUCACUGGCCCGGUACUGACGCUAAGGUGCGAAAGCGUGGGGAGCAAACAGG